CCCAUGCGGGUGCUAAUACAUGCAGUCGAGCGGACAGAUGGGAGCUUGCUCCCUGAUGUUAGCGGCGGACGGGUGAGUAACACGUGGGUAACCUGCCUGUAAGACUGGGAUAACUCCGGGAAACCGGGGCUAAUACCGGAUGGUUGUUUGAACCGCAUGGUUCAAACAUAAAAGGUGGCUUCGGCUACCACUUACAGAUGGACCCGCGGCGCAUUAGCUAGUUGGUGAGGUAACGGCUCACCAAGGCAACGAUGCGUAGCCGACCUGAGAGGGUGAUCGGCCACACUGGGACUGAGACACGGCCCAGACUCCUACGGGAGGCAGCAGUAGGGAAUCUUCCGCAAUGGACGAAAGUCUGACGGAGCAACGCCGCGUGAGUGAUGAAGGUUUUCGGAUCGUAAAGCUCUGUUGUUAGGGAAGAACAAGUACCGUUCGAAUAGGGCGGUACCUUGACGGUACCUAACCAGAAAGCCACGGCUAACUACGUGCCAGCAGCCGCGGUAAUACGUAGGUGGCAAGCGUUGUCCGGAAUUAUUGGGCGUAAAGGGCUCGCAGGCGGUUUCUUAAGUCUGAUGUGAAAGCCCCCGGCUCAACCGGGGAGGGUCAUUGGAAACUGGGGAACUUGAGUGCAGAAGAGGAGAGUGGAAUUCCACGUGUAGCGGUGAAAUGCGUAGAGAUGUGGAGGAACACCAGUGGCGAAGGCGACUCUCUGGUCUGUAACUGACGCUGAGGAGCGAAAGCGUGGGGAGCGAACAGGAUUAGAUACCCUGGUAGUCCACGCCGUAAACGAUGAGUGCUAA
rnacentral:rRNA from 1 species